rnacentral:rRNA from 1 species
UGGGGAAUAUUGGACAAUGGGCGAAAGCCUGAUCCAGCCAUGCCGCGUGUGUGAAGAAGGUCUUCGGAUUGUAAAGCACUUUAAGUUGGGAGGAAGGGCAGUAAGCGAAUACCUUGCUGUUUUGACGUUACCGACAGAAUAAGCACCGGCUAACUCUGUGCCAGCAGCCGCGGUAAUACAGAGGGUGCAAGCGUUAAUCGGAAUUACUGGGCGUAAAGCGCGCGUAGGUGGUUCGUUAAGUUGAAUGUGAAAGCCCCGGGCUCAACCUGGGAACUGCAUCCAAAACUGGCGAGCUAGAGUAGAGCAGAGGGUGGUGGAAUUUCCUGUGUAGCGGUGAAAUGCGUAGAUAUAGGAAGGAACACCAGUGGCGAAGGCGACCACCUGGGCUCAUACUGACACUGAGGUGCGAAAGCGUAGGGGGCAAACAGG